ACUCCUACGGGAGGCAGCAGUGAGGAAUAUUGGUCAAUGGGCGAGAGCCUGAACCAGCCAUCCCGCGUGGAGGAAGACGGCGCUAAGCGUUGUAAACUUCUUUUCAAGGGGAAGAAUUGUCCCGACGUGUCGGGUCUUGCCGGUACCCUUGGAACAAGCAUCGGCUAACUCCAUGCCAGCAGCCGCGGUAAUA
rnacentral:rRNA from 1 species